UACAGAGGGUGCAAGCGUUAAUCGGAAUUACUGGGCGUAAAGCGCACGUAGGCGGUUUUUUAAGUCAGAUGUGAAAGCCCCGGGCUCAACCUGGGAAUUGCAUUUGAAACUGGGAAACUAGAGUGUGUGAGAGGGGGGUAGAAUUCCAAGUGUAGCGGUGAAAUGCGUAGAGAUUUGGAGGAAUACCAGUGGCGAAGGCGGCCCCCUGGCACAACACUGACGCUCAGGUGCGAAAGCGUGGGGAGCAGACAGG
rnacentral:rRNA from 1 species